rnacentral:rRNA from 1 species
CGCGUAGGCGGCUUGGCAAGUCAGAUGUGAAAGCCCCGGGCUUAACUCGGGAAUUGCAUCUGAAACUGCCUUGCUUGAGUCCUGGAGGGGAUAGUGGAAUUCCCAGUGUAGCGGUGAAAUGCGUAGAUAUUGGGAGGAACACCUGCGGCGAAGGCGGCUAUCUGGACAGUGACUGACGCUGAGGCGCGAAAGCUAGGGGAGCGAACGGGAUUAGAUACCCCGGUAGUCCUAGCUGUAAACGAUGGGCACUUGGUGUUGAGGGUAUUGAGUCCCUCGGUGCCGGAGUUAACACGUUAAGUGCCCCGCCUGGGGAGUACGGUCGCAAGACUGAA